rnacentral:lncRNA from 1 species
GCAACCUAUAGUCUAUAAAUACGUAUCUUUAAUAUAUGGGCUCAUGCCCACUUCUUUAGGGCCUCAUAGUUCUUUGUACUGAAGGCUUAGUCUGUGGGAAGAUUUGUCUGCCCUUUCAAGAGAGAUUGUUUGCAUUUAUUAGUGCUUUAUUUUUCCAUACAGGUGUUUCUGGGAACAUUGAGGUAGAACCAUAGAAUUUUAUUAUCUUAUGCUUGCUUUCUUUCUUUAGUGAGCAUCAGCACCACAUGGCUCCACUCCAGACCUACAGAAUUUUAAUCUGUAUUUUCACUGGCUCCCCAGUAAUUCAUACACACAAUGUCCCCAUGAAGGAAAGUAUUAUUAUCUUCCCUUUAAAGAAUACAAAAAUUAUGAGACAUAUAUUAAUUUGCUCAAGGACAUGCAGCUAGCAAGUAAAUGCUGGAUUGAAACUCAGGUCUAUUUGCCUCCAACGCUGUGUCUAUGACCAAUGUAUUACGCUUGUUAGAGGUGAAUCUUCCAUGUCCUCAUGGAGGCUUUACCAUGCUCAGAGUAGGACGGUGAUAAUGUAUCAACUAGAAAGAUGCUGCUCCACAGCCACUCCCACCAACACUGCUCCUGAUGCCACCUACCAGGGGGCCUAAAAUCACAAUAUUAAAGUUUCAAUCUUGUAGGUUAAGGAUCUAAUAGCUGUAAGAGUCCCAUUGAAAUGCCAGUACAUCUUAGAUAUGACACCAAAAGCACAAACAAU